UACGUAGGGUGCGAGCGUUAAUCGGAAUUACUGGGCGUAAAGCGUGCGCAGGCGGUUUUUUAAGACAGGCGUGAAAUCCCCGGGCUUAACCUGGGAAUGGCGCUUGUGACUGGAAGGCUAGAGUACGGCAGAGGGGGGUGGAAUUCCACGUGUAGCAGUGAAAUGCGUAGAGAUGUGGAGGAACACCGAUGGCGAAGGCAGCCCCCUGGGCCGAUACUGACGCUCAUGCACGAAAGCGUGGGGAG
rnacentral:rRNA from 1 species